GGCCAACAAGCUUCAAACCCUUGAUGAAUUCUUGAUCAAAUUAACAAAUUAAGGACAUGGGGAUCCAUAUAUGAUGUUUAGAACCAAUGUGGAUCACUUUUGGAUUGAUAUCUUUGCAUUGAGGGUCUCAAACCCUAGUUGUGAGCUUGAUACGGCAGAUAUGGAUGGAUACACUACCUACAAAGGAACAAAGACAUAUAUAGACAUAUUUUUGGUAUUUUGGUUAGUAAACAAAAGAAGAUAAAGUAUGAUACAAUCAAAUGUUCUUGGUGAUC
rnacentral:lncRNA from 1 species